UUGCACAUUUCAUUGUCCUGCUCUUUACUUCUAAGAGUUGUGAUAUUUCUGCUGUGCUAGAAAAAAACUGGAGGUAAAUUAGCAGAGUGACUAUUUGGUGUCAUCUUUGCCAGUCCCCUUCGUACAUGU
ensembl:snoRNA small nucleolar RNA SNORA19